AUUGAACGCUGGCGGCAGGCCUAACACAUGCAAGUCGAGCGGUAACAGAAAAGAAGCUUGCUUCUUUUGCUGACGAGCGGCGGACGGGUGAGUAAUGCCUGGGAAUAUACCCUGAUGUGGGGGAUAACUAUUGGAAACGAUAGCUAAUACCGCAUAAUCUCUUCGGAGCAAAGAGGGGGACCUUCGGGCCUCUCGCGUCAGGAUUAGCCCAGGUGGGAUUAGCUAGUUGGUGGGGUAAUGGCUCACCAAGGCGACGAUCCCUAGCUGGUCUGAGAGGAUGAUCAGCCACACUGGAACUGAGACACGGUCCAGACUCCUACGGGAGGCAGCAGUGGGGAAUAUUGCACAAUGGGGGAAACCCUGAUGCAGCCAUGCCGCGUGUAUGAAGAAGGCCUUCGGGUUGUAAAGUACUUUCAGUUGUGAGGAAGGCGUUGGAGUUAAUAGCUUUAGCGUUUGACGUUAGCAACAGAAGAAGCACCGGCUAACUCCGUGCCAGCAGCCGCGGUAAUACGGAGGGUGCGAGCGUUAAUCGGAAUUACUGGGCGUAAAGCGCGCGUAGGUGGCUUGAUAAGCCGGUUGUGAAAGCCCCGGGCUCAACCUGGGAACGGCAUCCGGAACUGUCAAGCUAGAGUGCAGGAGAGGAAGGUAGAAUUCCCGGUGUAGCGGUGAAAUGCGUAGAGAUCGGGAGGAAUACCAGUGGCGAAGGCGGCCUUCUGGACUGACACUGACACUGAGGUGCGAAAGCGUGGGUAGCAAACAGGAUUAGAUACCCUGGUAGUCCACGCCGUAAACGAUGUCGACCAGCCGUUGGGUGCCUAGCGCACUUUGUGGCGAAGUUAACGCGAUAAGUCGACCGCCUGGGGAGUACGGCCGCAAGGUUAAAACUCAAAUGAAUUGACGG
rnacentral:rRNA from 1 species